rnacentral:pre_miRNA from 1 species
GGAAGGAUCACAGGGCAAAUGCUCCUCCGGCAGGUAGCCACUGAUCGACGGAGCUUCAUGCAUUCAUCUUUUAGUGUGCCCUCUGCCAAAGGAGAUUUGCCCGGCUAUACUUCU